GAUGAACGCUAGCGGCAGGCUUAAUACAUGCAAGUCGAGGGGCAUCAAGGUACACGAAAGUGUAUUGUUGGCGACCGGCGGACGGGUGAGUAAUAGGGUAGGUAACCUACCUCAUACUGAGGCAUAGCGUGGGAGAAAUUCCAGGUAAUUCCUCAUGAGGUUACUAUGACACAUGUGAUAUAAUCAAAGGUAUCGCAAGGUACUGGUAUGAGAUGGGGCUUACUGACCGAUUAGCUAGUUGGUGAGAUAAGAGCUCACCAAGGCGAAGAUGGUUAGGGGUUUUGAGGUAGAGAGAUCCCCCACAUUGGAACUGAGAUACGGUCCAGACUCCUACGGGAGGCAGCAGUAGGGAAUAUUGGGCAAUGGGCGGAAGCCUGACCCAGCCAUGCCGCGUGAAGGAAGACGGCCUUAUGGGUUGUAAACUUCUUUACUAUGCGACUAACUAGAUUUACGAGAUAAUUCUAUAGAAUGUAAGCAUAGACAAAAGCACCGG
rnacentral:rRNA from 1 species